rnacentral:lncRNA from 1 species
UAGGAUAAAGAAUUAUGAAGUAUUUUUUCUUAAAAAAAUUUUAUGAAGUAUUUAAAAUUUAAGUACUGACAAAAUAUAAAACUUUAUUUUUAAUUUGUACAAUUUCUAAACAGGUUCUAAAAAUAAUUAUAAUGUUUUGAAAAAAUGUUAAACGAUUCACCACACGAAUUUAAUUUUGUAAAUAAAUUUUUAGAAAACUAAUUUUAUAAAAGAAAAACUUCAAAUACCACCUCUGUAGUUUCACAUUUUUUUUAUUUUAAUACCCUGUGAUUUAAAAUGUAUCAAUUUAGUACUCGUGAUUUUAUUUUUCUAUUUUUAUUAUCCCCUAUUAAUUUUUUUUCGUUAAAUCAGUGAUAAAGUUAAAAUUAAAAGAUACUAAAAUAAAUAAAUAUUUGAUAAAUUUAGAUAGGAUAUAUAAAGUUUUUUAUAUAUUAGUUAAUAAAAUAUUAAUAAAAUAGCCGAUGAAAAAAAAAAGUAAAAAUACUAAAUUGAUGCACUUUAAAUAAAAAAAUAUUAAAUUAAGAAAGUAUGAAACUAAGUGAUAGUAUUUGAUAUUUGAAGUGUUUUUUUUUUUUAUAAAAUAUAAUAUUUUUUAAGCUAAUUAAUAAAAAAAAAAAAUUUCCGUCCC